AUGGGGUCUAUGAUAAAUGAAUUAAAUAUUCACUUGAAUACCUAAUAUAUUUCUAAACUUAUUGUGGCCAAAGGGCUCCUGAUUCCCCUCACCACCAGCUUCUCACCAGGGGAUGCUUCUGUAGAUUGUGAGAUCUGAGAAGCUUUUGAAGAUGUUAUUUGAGUUGAGAUAUGAAUGGUGAAGUAUCUCUGUUCAUUCCAGGUAUGAAGGUGGGAAAGCGUUGGCUUUGGGGUGGAAAUGAGUUUAGUGUGUUGGAGACAGUCAGUAUGAAAUGUUGGAAUGUAUCCAGAGAAGAAAUAGUGGUAGAUGAGGCUAGAGAGGUGGAACGGGCCUUGAUCUUUCAGGGCAGAAUAAGGAGUUAUGAUGUCACUUUAAUGAUGGCAGCAAGUCUGUAGAGUGUUCUAGGUCUGGGGAUUGAUGGCCUCAUGACCAUGGCUACUGUGUAGUGACUGAUUGGUGGAGGCAGAAGAGGAAAUGGGGACCUUUCAGAGCUGUUGUCUGGGUAAGAAGCCAUAGUAGCUAUAGCUAAGAACUUAAGUGUGGAUUCUAUGUGGAAGGCAGGAGGUGAGUAGUCAAGAGUUGAUUUCUAGGUUUUAGUUGAGCAACUGAAUGUGUGAGGGUUCAAUUACUAAGAUG